rnacentral:lncRNA from 1 species
GGCUCACGCCUGUAAUCCCAGCACUUUGGGAGGCCGAGGCGGGCGGAUCACCUGAGGUCAGGAGAUCGAGACCAUCCUGGCUAACUCGGUGAAACCCCGUCUCUACUAAAAAUACAAAAAAUUAGCCGGGCGUGGUCGCGGGCGCCUGUAGUCCCAGCUACUCGGGAGGCUGAGGCAGGAGAAUGGCGUGAACCCGGGAGGCGGAGCUUGCAGCGAGAGGAGAUCGCGCCACUGCACUCCAGCCUGGGCGACAGAGACAGAGACUCCGUCUCAAAAAAAAAAAAAAAAAAAAAAAGAAUGCAGAGUAGGUUGGAGGAACCAAUAAAAGGAUCAUGUGAGAGGAGGAGUUUGACCUAUUUAUU